CUACAGAGAUGAGAAACAUGAACUCUCUCUUUCUGAAGCUUCAGUGGAGAAAAACAUUAGCAGAUUCUGAGUAGC
rnacentral:snoRNA from 11 species